UGGACCUUGAGUGUGACGCGAUCGGGAGGGGGAGGCGGUCGCGCUGGGGGUGGCGCGACGCGGCUCGGGCCCGACAGUGCCCCACCGGGGUCCUAGUUAGGGCCCGAGCCAGCUGCAGAGCAGCCGGGCGUAGGCCCUAUUAUUCCCCAAGUGGUUUUUCUUUGUUUCUUUCUUUCUUUUUUCUUUUUCCUCCCCUUUGAACUGGAAAAUGGCCCACUUCCCACUGGCGAAAACUCAUGAAAUUUGGCAGGACGACCGGGCCUGGUGAAAAAUUCGAUAUUCUGAAGUCGCCCAAACAAUAAAAUGCAAAAUGGCUCCAUAGCGCCCCCUAAGGUGGAAAUUCACACUAUUGACUGUCACGCCUGUACGCUUUGUCAUAUUGACACAAAAAUUGACACACAUAUGUAUCUCAAUAAGAUCUACAAAAAAGUCAGUGCGGCCGUAUCUGUCAAAAUUACGGUUAAAGGGUUAUUUCGCAUUUUUUGCCGAUCCGCACACAUUGGAAUUUCGCUAACUCCUCUGAAGGCUUUCGUUCCACCGGCACCACAUUUGCUCAGGCCAAUCUACACCCCGUGGCCAUUAAAAGUUAUCAAAAUCAUGACGCUGCACCCCAAGGUUUAGGUUCUAGGGGGCGCCAAAGAUAACACUAAAAUCCACAUAUUUAAAAGUCUUAUAACUUUUUAUUUUUGUCCUCACUGGCCUCCAAGUUUUCUAGGAUGAUGCAAUGUCCAGCCAUCAACACAUUUGUGAAGGAAUUUUUACUCCCCAAAAGAGCGCCCCCCCAUGGCAGGAGAAAAAAGUCCAUUUUUUCUUGUCCCCUAAGGUGAAAAUACACAUUGUUGAGUGUCACGCCUAUACGCUUUGUCAAAAUGACACAAAAAUUGACACACACAUGUAACUCAAUAAGAUCUACGAAAAAGUCAAUGUGCGCGUAUCUGUCAAAUGUACGGUUAAAGGGUUAUUCCGCAUUUUUUGCCGAUCCGCACACAUUGGAAUGUGGCUAACUCCUCCUAAGGCUUUCGUUCCACCGGCACCACAUUUGCUCAGGCCAAUCUACACCCCAUGGCCAUUAAAAGUUAUUCAAAUCAUGACGCUGCACCCCACGGUUUAGGUUCUAGGGGGCGCCAAAGAUAACCCUAAAAUCCACAUAUUUCAAAGUCUUAUAACUUUUUAUUUUUGUCCUCACUGGCCUCCAAGUUUUCUAGGAUGAUGCAAUGUCCAGCCAUCAACACAUUUGUGAAGGAAUUUUUACUCCCCAAAAGAGCGCCCCCCCAUGGCAGGAGAAAAAAGUCCAUUUUUUCUUGUCCCUUAAGGUGAAAAUACAUAUUGUUGAGAUUCACGCCUAUACGCUUUGUCAUAUUGACACAAAAUUUGACAAUCACGUGCCUUGCCUGGUAUCAUUUUUUUCAGCACAACCUCACCUGUGCGAAUUUACAGUUAUUUUAUCAUGUUGACAUACUGAAUUUACACAAUGGACCCAAAUUCACACACAAAACAUAAAAUCCGAGUGGAAAAAAGUAACAUUUUUACUGUGAAAACCACAAAUAUGUGUGAUGAACUGUUUUUAAAACUUAAACUUCAAAUAAAAAUUGUAAACUUCAAAACAUAUGCAAAUUUUUAACAAAGAACAUAGUGAUUUACCUCUAUUUUCAUCAAAAUGCAGGCAAUGGCCCAGGCGUUCUUUGUAAAAUUAUUUACAAAACACUGUAUAGUCUCACAAAUGUCACUUUUUAUUUAUGCCACUACAAAAAAACAUGAUGUAAAUGAUGCAUGAUGUAAAACAUGAUGUAAAAAACUUGUGUAGAUCCUCCUCUAUGUCAGUCCAUGUGUAAUUUUUCCAUAAUUCUUUGUUUUUUGCAGCAUUUUUGUUAGUGUAACUGCAGAUUGUGCUGACAGUGUCUAUGGCACAAAAAAAAAAAAAAAAUUAAAAUGCCUCAACAUGAACCCCUGGUGGUCUCUGAGGGUGAAACCUGCUAACUGCUGCAGCUCUGUCAGCUUCAGUCUUCCAUGCAGAGCUCUGAGCGCAUGUGUGGCUCUGCACCCUUAGCAGCGUUGCUAACUCCUCAGUAAGGAAAGCCUGCUUCAUGUCAGAGUCUCUAAACUCCAGAAGAAGUCGAUAAAAGUCCCUUUCUUUCUAAAAAAAAGUCGUUAGGGGGUCUGAAAAGUCAUUGAAUCUAACAACAAAGUCGCUAGGUUUGCAACUACGUGUCCCAGACUGCAUCCCUGCUGAGAGUCCCUCCCUCCCUUCUCAUGUUGCAGGAAGAACGUAAGCACCCGCCCCUUGUCAAUCAGUCACCAUAUAAUUUUGGAUUGGUUGUUGUGGUGAAGUUUUCCACCAAUAGGAGAGAUGUUGUGGUGUGUUUUUUUUUUCUUUUGGCAAGCCUUUUCCGCCUGUAAGACCUGUCGCUAAUGUCUGCAUGCUAUGUUUUCCUGUCUCAUACAGCGCGAUCGAGCGCCGAACGUGAUCAAAAUAAGCAGAAAAAAAGUAUCGCGGACAUAAUUUAUCAUAACUCUGGUUUUAUUUGGCCUAUCAACACAAUUUAAAAACUGGUAUAUAGGUUGAGGUCCUCACUUUUGAGAUAAGUUGAAACGGAGAGUCAACGAGGCUCCGUCUUGCAGCUACAUCCGGUUAAAUAUGUCAUGUGACUUGAACGCACACACACACACGCACACACACACACACACACACACACUCAGAGUCUGGUUUUUAGCACCUGCAAAAACAUGCUAUUUACAUAUUUGACAAGAAUGCAGAGGCUCCUUUUUCCCCUGAAAAAAAUCAAAUUUCAAACACAACUUGACUGGUCAUUUCUCCAAAAGACAACCAUGAAGCUCCAUCCAAACCUGAAGCAGGCAGUUGGUGCAUGUGUACAGUAACCUGAGGGGAGUGAGGUGAGUGCUUCUGAGGAGAACAUGAGCAGUGAAGAUUCACCUUGGAGCUAGAACAGAGACAUGCACAUGAUUAUACAGGGGCAGGGGCUCAAGUUUUUUCCAGUCGUUUAUACAAUAUGGAAAUUAAUGUGAAAUUAAAACACAAAGUAUUAAUAGAAAGGUAAUGACUGUCCUGUGUAGGUGACAGUGAUAUCCAAUAGGCUAGGCACUCACGAGGCUGGCUGUGGCAAGUGUAAGUGAAAGCAACACGCACUGGCAGGAAGAACAGCAAACGCCGAUGAAGGAAAAGGGUCUUUGCAGUGAUGGGCGUUACCAGAGAGGGCGAUGGCCAGAGGACACAAAUGGGACGGGGAGGCAGCACGUUGGGGGGGGGGGACGCGACACGGCUCGGGCCCGCCAGUGCCCCAACGGGGUCCUAGUUAGGGCCCGAGCGUAGCUGCUAAGCAGCUGCGAGAGCCCUCUUGUUUCUGUAGUUUCCUUCUUUUGUUAUUAUUAUUAUUAUUUUUCCUCCCCUUUGAACUGGAAAAUGGCCCACUUCCCACUGGCGAAAACUCAUGAAAUUUGGCAGGACGACCGGGCCUGGUGAAAAAUUUGAUAUUCCGAAGUCGCCCAAACAAGAAAAUGCAAAAUGGCUCCAUAGCGCCCCCUAAGGUGAAAAUUCACACUAUUCACUGUCACGCCUGUACGCUUUGUCAAAAUGACACAAAAAUUGACACACACAUGUAUCUCAAUAAGAUCUACAAAAAAGUCAGUGCGGGCGUAUCUGUCAAAUGUACGGUUAAAGGGUUAUUUCGCAUUUUUUGCCGAUCCGCACACAUUGGAAUUUCGCUAACUCCUCCGAAGGCUUUCGUUCCACCGGCACCACAUUUGCUCAGGCCAAUCUACACCCCAUGGCCAUUAAAAGUUAUUCAAAUCAUGACGCUGCACCCCACGGUUUAGGUUCUAGGGGGCGCCAAAGAUAACCCUAAGAUCCACAUAUUUAAAAGUCUUAUAACUUUUUAUUUUUGCCCUCACUGGCCUCCAAGUUUUCUAGGAUGAUGCAAUGUCCAGCCAUCAACACAUUUGUGAAGGAAUUUUUACUCCCCAAAAGAGCGCCCCCCCAUGGCAGGAGAAAAAAGUCCAUUUUUUCUUGUCCCCUAAGGUGAAAAUACACAUUGUUGAGUGUAACACCUGUACGCUUUGGCAAAAUGACACAAAAAUUGACACACACAUGUAUCUCAAUAAGAUCUACGAAAAAGUCAAUGCGCGCGUAUCUGUCAAAUGUACGGUUAAAGGGUUAUUCCGCAUUUUUUGCCGAUCCGCACACAUUGGAAUUUCGCUAACUCCUCCGAAGGCUUUCGUUCCACCGGCACCACAUUUGCUCAGGCCAAUCUACACCCCAUGGCCAUUAAAAGUUAUUCAAAUCAUGACGCUGCACCCCACGGUUUAGGUUCUAGGGGGAGCCAAAGAUAACCCUAAGAUCCACAUAUUUAAAAGUCUUAUAACUUUUUAUUUUUGCCCUCACUGGCCUCCAAGUUUUCUAGGAUGAUGCAAUGUCCAGCCAUCAACACAUUUGUGAAGGAAUUUUUACUCGGCAAAAGAGCGCCCCCCAUGGCAGGAGAAAAAAGUCAAUUUUUUCUUGUCCACUAAGGUGAAAAUACACAUUGUUGAGUGCUACGCCUUUAUGUUUUGUCGUAUUGACACAAAAUUUUACAUACACGUGUAUUUCAAUAAGAUCUUCGAAAAAGUCAAUGGCCACGUAUCUGUAAAAUGUACGGUUAAAGGGUUAUUUCGCAUUUUUUGCAGAUUCGCACACAUUGGAAUUUCGCUAAUUCCUCCGAAGGCUUUCGUUCCACCGGCACCACAUUUGCUCAGGCCAAUCUACACCCCAUGGCCAUUAAAAGUUAUUCAAAUCAUGACGCUGCACCCCACGGUUUAGGUUCUAGGGGGCGCCAAAUAUAACCCUAAAAUCCACAUAUUUAAAAGUCUUAUAACUUUUUAUUUUUGUCCUCACUGGCCUCCAUGUUUUCUAGGAUGAUGCAAUGUCCAGCCAUCAACACAUUUGUGAAGGAGUUUUUUCUCUUUAAAAGAGCGCCCCCCCCAUGGCAGGAGAAUAAAGUCAAGUUUUUCCUGUUCAUCAUUCAAUGGCUCAAACGCACUGCUCUUUCGGCAAAAGCGAAAGGAGGAGCAACUUGCCAUUUGGAUAUAUCUUAGCUGUGUUUGUGCCCUCACUCAUGGUCCAGACUUUUUUCAAAUAGGACAUGGAGUUUUUCUGCAGCGAGCGUUUUGGUAGAAACUGCGCCUCCCGUUCAUUAUAAUGGUAAAUGACCACAAACAAGUGCGCACACCAUCUUUGGACCUUGAGUGUGACGCGAUCGGGUGGGGGAGGCGGUCGCGCUGGGGGCGGCGUGACACGGCUCGGGCCCGCCAGUGCCCCAACGGGGCCCUAGUUAUUAUUUUUCCUCCCCUUUGAACUGGAAAAUGGCCCACUUCCCACUGGCGAAAACUCAUGAAAUUUGGCAGGACGACCGGGCCUGGUGAAAAAUUUGAUAUUCCGAAGUCGGCCAAACAAUAAAAUGCAAAAUGGCUCCAUAGCGCCCCCUAAGGUGAAAAUUCACACUAUUGACUGUCACGCGUGUACGCUUUGUCAAAAUGACACAAAAAUUGACACACACAUGUAUCUCAAUAAGAUCUACAAAAAAGUCAGUGCGGGCGUAUCUGUCAAAUGUACGGUUAAAGGGUUAUUUCGCAUUUUUUGCCGAUCCGCACACAUUGGAAUUUCGCUAACUCCUCCGAAGGCUUUCGUUCCACCGGCACCACAUUUGCUCAGGCCAAUCUACACCCCAUGGCCAUUAAAAGUUAUUCAAAUCAUGACGCUGCACCCCACGGUUUAGGUUCUAGGGGGCGCCAAAGAUAACCCUAAGAUCCACAUAUUUAAAAGUCUUAUAACUUUUUAUUUUUGCCCUCACUGGCCUCCAAGUUUUCUAGGAUGAUGCAAUGUCCAGCCAUCAACACAUUUGUGAAGGAAUUUUUACUCCCCAAAAGAGCGCCCCCCCAUGGCAGGAGAAAAAAGUCCAUUUUUUCUUGUCCCCUAAGGUGAAAAUACACAUUGUUGAGUGUAACACCUGUACGCUUUGGCAAAAUGACACAAAAAUUGACACACACAUGUAUCUCAAUAAGAUCUACGAAAAAGUCAAUGCGCGCGUAUCUGUCAAAUGUACGGUUAAAGGGUUAUUCUGCUUUUUUUGCCGAUCCGCACACAUUGGAAUUUCGCUAACUCCUCCGAAGGCUUUCGUUCCACCGGCACCACAUUUGCUCAGGCCAAUCUACACCCCAUGGCCAUUAAAAGUUAUUCAAAUCAUGACGCUGCACCCCACGGUUUAGGUUCUAGGGGGCGCCAAAGAUAACCCUAAAAUCCACAUAUUUAAAAGUCUUAUAACUUUUUAUUUUUGUCCUCACUGGCCUCCAAGUUUUCUAGGAUGAUGCAAUGUCCAGCCAUCAACACAUUUGUGAAGGAAUUUUUACUCCCCAAAAGAGCGCCCCCCAUGGCAGGAGAAAAAAGUCCAUUUUUUCUUGUCCCCUAAGGUGAAAAUACAUAUUGUUGAGAUUCACGCCUAUACGCUUUGUCAUAUUGACACAAAAUUUGACAAUCACGUGCCUUGCCUGGUAUCAUUUUUUUCAGCACAACCUCACCUGUGCGAAUUUACAGUUAUUUUAUCAUGUUGACAUACUGAAUUUACACAAUGGACCCAAAUUCACACACAAAACAUAAAAUCCGAGUGGAAAAAAGUAACAUUUUUACUGUGAAAACCACAAAUAUGUGUGAUGAACUGUUUUUAAAACUUAAACUUCAAAUAAAAAUUGUAAACUUCAAGACAUAUGCAAAUUUUUAACAAAGAACAUAGUGAUUUACCUCUAUUUACAUCAAAAUGCAGGCAAUGGCCCAGGCGUUCUUUGUAAAAUUAUUUACAAAACACUGUAUAGUCUCACAAAUGUCACUUUUUAUUUAUGCCACUACAAAAAAACAUGAUGUAAAUGAUGCAUGAUGUAAAACAUGAUGUAAAAAACUUGUGUAGAUCCUCCUCUAUGUCAGUCCAUGUGUAAUUUUUCCAUAAUUCUUUGUUUUUUGCAGCAUUUUUGUUAGUGUAACUGCAGAUUGUGCUGACAGUGUCUAUGGCACAAAAAAAAAAAAAAUUAAAAUGCCUCAACAUGAACCCCUGGUGGUCUCUGAGGGUGAAACCUGCUAACUGCUGCAGCUCUGUCAGCUUCAGUCUCCCAUGCAGAGCUCUGAGCGCAUGUGUGGCUCUGCACCCUUAGCAGCGUUGCUAACUCCUCAGUAAGGAAAGCCUGCUUCAUGUCAGAGUCUCUAAACUCCAGAAGAAGUCGAUAAAAGUCCCUUUCUUUCUAAAAAAAAGUCGUUAGGGGGUCUGAAAAGUCAUUGAAUCUAACAACAAAGUCGCUAGGUUUGCAACUACGUGUCCCAGACUGCAUCCCUGCUGAGAGUCCCUCCCUCCCUUCUCAUGUUGCAGGAAGAACGUAAGCGCCCGCCCCUUGUCAAUCAGUCACCAUAUAAUUUUGGAUUGGUUGUUGUGGUGAAGUUUUCCACCAAUAGGAGAGAUGUUGUGGUGUGUUUUUUUUUUCUUUUGGCAAGCCUUUUCCGCCUGUAAGAGCUGUCGCUAAUGUCUGCAUGCUAUGUUUUCCUGUCUCAUACAGCGCGAUCGAGCGCCGAACGUGAUAAAAAUAAGCAGAAAAAAAGUAUCGCGGACAUAAUUUAUCAUAACUCUGGUUUUAUUUGGCCUAUCAACACAAUUUAAAAACUGGUAUAUAGGUUGAGGUCCUCACUUUUGAGAUAAGUUGAAACGGAGAGUCAACGAGGCUCCGUCUUGCAGCUACAUCCGGUUAAAUAUGUCAUGUGACUUGAACGCACACACACACACACGCACACACACACACACACACACACACACACACACACACACUCAGAGUCUGGUUUUUAGCACCUGCAAAAACAUGCUAUUUACAUAUUUGACAAGAAUGCAGAGGCUCCUUUUGCCCCUGAAAAAAAUCAAAUUUCAAACACAACUUGACUGGUCAUUUCUCCAAAAGACAACCAUGAAGCUCCAUCCAAACCUGAAGCAGGCAGUUGGUGCAUGUGUACAGUAACCUGAGGGGAGUGAGGUGAGUGCUUCUGAGGAGAACAUGAGCAGUGAAGAUUCACCUUGGAGCUAGAACAGAGACAUGCACAUGAUUAUACAGGGGCAGGGGCUCAAGUUUUUUCCAGUCGUUUAUACAAUAUGGAAAUUAAUGUGAAAUUAAAACACAAAGUAUUAAUAGAAAGGUAAUGACUGUCCUGUGUAGGUGACAGUGAUAUCGAAUAGGCUAGGCACUCACGAGGCUGGCUGUGGCAAGUGUAAGUGAAAGCAACACGCACUGGCAGGAAGAACAGCAAACGCCGAUCAAGGAAAAGGGUCUUUGCAGUGAUGGGCGUUACCAGAGAGGGCGAUGGCCAGAGGACACAAAUGGGACGGGGAGGCAGCGCGGGGGGGGGGGGGGGGGGGGGCGACACGGCUCGGGCACGCCAGUGCCCCAACGGGGUCCUAGUUAGGGCCCGAGCGUAGCUGCUAAGCAGCUGCGAGAGCCCUCUUGUUCUUGUAGUUUCCUUCUUUUGUUAUUAGGGCCCGAGCGUAGCUGCUAAGCAGCUGCGAGAGCCCUCUUGUUCCUGCAUGUUUCCUUCUUUUGUUAUUAUUAUUAUUAUUAUUAUUUUUCCUCCCCUUUGAACUGGAAAAUGGCCCACUUCCCACUGGCGAAAACUCAUGAAAUUUGGCAGGACGACCGGGCCUGGUGAAAAAUUUGAUAUUCCGAAGUCGCCCAAACAAGAAAAUGCAAAAUGGCUCCAUAGCGCCCCCUAAGGUGAAAAUUCACACUAUUGACUGUCACGCCUGUACGCUUUGUCAAAAUGACACAAAAAUUGACACACACAUGUAUCUCAAUAAGAUCUACAAAAAAGUCAGUGCGGGCGUAUCUGUCAAAUGUACGGUUAAAGGGUUAUUUCGCAUUUUUUGCAGAUCCGCACACAUUGGAAUUUCGCUAACUCCUCCGAAGGCUUUCGUUCCACCGGCACCACAUUUGCUCAGGCCAAUCUACACCCCAUGGCCAUUAAAAGUUAUUCAAAUCAUGACGCUGCACCCCACGGUUUAGGUUCUAGGGGGCGCCAAAGAUAACCCUAAGAUCCACAUAUUUAAAAGUCUUAUAACUUUUUAUUUUUGCCCUCACUGGCCUCCAAGUUUUCUAGGAUGAUGCAAUGUCCAGCCAUCAACACAUUUGUGAAGGAAUUUUUACUCCCCAAAAGAGCGCCCCCCCAUGGCAGGAGAAAAAAGUCCAUUUUUUCUUGUCCCCUAAGGUGAAAAUACACAUUGUUGAGUGUAACACCUGUACGCUUUGGCAAAAUGACACCAAAAUUGACACACACAUGUAUCUCAAUAAGAUCUACAAAAAAGUCAAUGCGCACGUAUCUGUCAAAUGUACGGUUAAAAGGUUAUUCCGCAUUUUUUGCCGAUCCGCACACAUUGGAAUUUCGCUAACUCCUCCGAAGGCUUUCGUUCCACCGGCACCACAUUUUCUCAGGCCAAUCUACACCCCAUGGCCAUUAAAAGUUAUUCAAAUCAUGACGCUGCACCCCACGGUUUAGGUUCUAGGGGGCGCCAAAGAUAACCGUAAAAUCCACAUAUUUAAAAGUCUUAUAACUUUUUAUUUUUGUCCCAACUGGCCUCCAAGUUUUCUAGGAUGAUGCAAUGUCCAGCCAUCAACACAUUUGUGAAGGAAUUUUUACUCGCCAAAAGAGCGCCCCCCAUGGCAGGAGAAAAAAGUCCAUUUUUUCUUGUCCACUAAGGUGAAAAUACACAUUGUUGAGUGCUACGCCUGUAUGUUUUGUCGUAUUGACACAAAAUUUUACAUACACGUGUCUUUCAAUAAGAUCUUCGAAAAAGUCAAUGGCCACGUAUCUGUAAAAUGUACGGUUAAAGGGUGAUUUCGCAUUUUUUGCAGAUUCGCACACAUUGGAAUUUCGCUAACUCCUUUUGAAGGCUUUCGUUCCACCGGCACCACAUUUGCUCAGGCCAAUCUACACCCCAUGGCCAUUAAAAGUUAUUCAAAUCAUGACGCUGCACCCCACGGUUUAGGUUCUAGGGGGCGCCAAAGAUAACCCUAAAAUCCACAUAUUUAAAAGUCUUAUAACUUUUUAGGGCCCGAGCGUAGCUGCUAAGCAGCUGCGAGAGCCCUCUUGUUCCUGAUGGAUUCUUCUUUUGUUAUUAUUAUUAUUAUUAGGGCCCGAGCGUAGCUGCUAAGCAGCUGCGAGAGCCCUAUUAUUCCUGAUGGAUUCUUCUUUCUUCUUCUUCUUCUUCUUAUUAUUUUUCUGCCCCUUUGAACUGGAAAAUGGCCCACUUCCCACUGGUGAAAAGUCAUGAAAUUUGGCAGGACGACCGGGCCUGGUGAAAAAUUCGAUAUUCUGAAGUCGCCCAAACAAUCAAAUGCAAAAUGGCUCCAUAGCGCCCCCUAAGGUGAAAAAUUCACAUGAUUGAGUGUCACACCUGUACGCUUUGUCAAAAUGACACAAAAUUUGACACACACGUGUAUCUCAAUAAGAUCUACAAAAAAGUCAGUGCGGGCGUAUCUGUCAAAUGUACGGUUAAAGGUUUAUUUCGCAUUUUUUGCCGAUCCGCACACAUUGGAAUUUCGCUAACUCCUCCGAAGGUUUUCCUUCCACCGGCACCACAUUUGCUCAGGCCAAUCUACACCCCAUGGCCAAUAAAAGUUGUACAAAUCAUGACGCUGCACCCCACGGUUUACGUUCUAGGGGGCGCCAAAGAUAACCCAAAAAUCCACAGUCUUAAAAGUCUUAUAACUUUUUAUUUUUGUCCUCACUGGCCUCCAAGUUCUCUAGGAUGAUGCAAUGUCCAGCCAUCAACACAUUUGUGAAGGAAUUUUUACUCGCCAAAAGAGCGCCCCCCAUGGCAGGAGAAAAAUGUCCAUUUUUUCUUGUCUCCUAAGGCGAAAAUACACAUCGUUGACUGUCACGCCUUUACGCUUUGUCAAAAUGACACAAAAUUUGACACACACAUGUAUCUCAAUAAGAUCUACAAAAAAGUCAGUGCGGGCGUAUCUGUCACAUGUACGGUUAAAGGGUUAUUUCGCAUUUUUUGCCGAUCCGCACACAUUGGAAUUUCGCUAACUCCUCUGAAGGCUUUCGUUCCAACGGCACCACAUUUGCUCAGGCCAAUCUACACCCCAUGGCCAUUAAAAGUUGUACAAAUCAUGACACUGCACCCCACGGUUUACGUUCUAGGGGGCGCCAAAGAUAACCCAAAAAUCCACAGUCUUAAAAGUCUUAUAACUUUUUAUUUUUGUCCUCACUGGCCUCCAAGUUCUCUAGGAUGAUGCAAUGUCCAGCCAUCAACACAUUUGUGAAGGAAUUUUUACUCGCCAAAAGAGCGCCCCCCAUGGCAGGAGAAAAAAGUCCAUUUUUUCUUGUCUCCUAAGGCGAAAAUACACAUUGUUGAUUGUCACGCCUUUACGCUUUGUCAAAAUGACACAAAAUUUGACACACACAUGUAUCUCAAUAAGAUCUACGAAAAAGUCAAUGCGAGCGUAUCUGUUCAAUGUACGGUUAAAGGGCUAUUUUGCAUUUUUUGCCGAUUCGCACACAUUGGAAUGUGGCUAACUCCUCCUAAAGCUUUUGUCCCAUCGGCUUCAAAUUUGCUCAGGUCAAUCUACACCCCAUGGCCAUUCAAAGUUGUACAAAUCAUGACGCUGCACCCCACGGUUUACGUUCUAGGGGGUGCCAAAGACGACCCAAAUAUCCACAUUUUUAAAAGUCUUAUAACUUUUUAUUUUUGUCCUCACUGGCCUCCAAGUUUUCUAGGAUGAUGCAAUGUCCAGCCAUCAACACAUUUGUGAAGGAAUUUUUUCUCCCCAAAAGAGCGCCCCCCAUGGCAGGAGAAAAAGUCAAGUUUUUCCUGCCCAUCGCUCAAUGGCUCAAAAGCAUCGCUCUCUCGGCAAAACCGAAAGGAGGAGCAACUUGCCAUUUGGAUAUAUACUAGCUGUGUUUGUGCCCUCGCUCAUGGUCCAGACUUUUUUCAAAAAGGACAUGGAGUUUGUCUGCAGCGAGCGUUUUGGUAGAAACUGCGCCUCCCAUUCAUUAUAAUGGUAAAUGACCACAGACAAGUGCGCACACCAUCUUUGGACCUUGAGUGUGACGCGAUCAAGAGGGGUAGGCGGUCGCGCUGGGGGCGGCGCGACACGGCUCGGGCCCGCCAGUGCCCCAACGGGGCCCUAGUUAUUAUUUUUCCUCCGCUUUAAACUGGAAAAUGGCCCACUUCCCACUGGCGAAAACUCAUGAAAUUUGGCAGGACGACCGGGCCUGGUGAAAAAUUCGAUAUUCUGAAGUCGCCCAAACAAUAAAAUGCAAAAUGGCUCCAUAGCGCCCCCUAAGGUGAAAAUUCACACUAUUGACUGUCACGCCUUUACGCUUUGUCAUAUUGACACAAAAAUUGACACACACAUGUAUCUCAAUAAGAUCUACAAAAAAGUCAGUGCGGGCGUAUCUGUCAAAUGUACGGUUAAAGGGUUAUUUCGCAUUUUUUGCCGAUCCGCACACAUUGGAAUUUCGCUAACUCCUCCGAAGGCUUUCGUUCCAACGGCACCACAUUUGCUCAGGCCAAUCUACACCCCAUGGCCAUUAAAAGUUGUACAAAUCAUGACGCUGCACCCCACGGUUUACGUUCUAGGGGGCGCCAAAGAUAACCCAAAAAUCCACAGUCUUAAAAGUCUUAUAACUUUUUAUUUUUGUCCUCACUGGCCUCCAAGUUCUCUAGGAUGAUGCAAUGUCCAGCCAUCAACACAUUUGUGAAGGAAUUUUUACUCCCCAAAUGAGCGCCCCCCAAUGGCAGGAGAAAAAAGUCAAUUUUUUCUUGUCUCCUAAGGCGAAAAUACACAUUGUUGACUGUCACGCCUGUAUGCUUUGUCAAAAUGACACAAAAAUUGACAUACACAUGUAUCUCAAUACGAUCUACGAAAAAGUCAAUGCGAGCGUAUCUGUUCAAUGUACGGUUAAAGGGCUAUUUCGCAUUUUUUGCCGAUUCGCACACAUUGGAAUUUCACUAACUCCUCCUAAAGCUUUUGUCCCAUCGGCUUCAAAUUUGCUCAGGUCAAUCUACACCCCAUGGCCAUUCAAAGUUGUACAAAUCAUGACGCUGCACCCCACGGUUUACGUUCUAGGGGGCGCCAAAGAGGACCCAAAUAUCCACAUUUUUAAAAGUCUUAUAACUUUUUAUUUUUGUCCUCACUGGCCUCCAAGUUCUCUAGGAUGAUGCAAUGUCCAGCCAUCAACACAUUUGUGAAGGAAUUUUUUCUCCCCAAAAGAGCGCCCCCCCAUGGCAGGAGAAAAAGUCAAGUUUUUCCUGCCCAUCGCUCAAUGGCUCAAACGCAUCGCUCUCUCGGCAAAACGGAAAGGAGGAGCAACUUGCCAUUUGGAUAUAUACUAGCUGUGUUUGUGCCCUCACUCAUGGUCCAGACUUUUUUCAAAAAGGACAUGGAGUUUGUCUGCAGCGAGCGUUUUGGUAGAAACUGCGCCUCCCAUUCAUUAUAAUGGUAAAUGACCACAGACAAGUGCGCACACCAUCUUUGGACCUUGAGUGUGACGCGAUCGGGAGGGGUAGGCGGUCGCGCUGGGGGCGGCGCGACACGGCUCGGGCCCGCCAGUGCCCCAACGGGGCCCUAGUUAGGGCCCGAGCGUAGCUGCUAAGCAGCUGCGAGAGCCCUAUUAUUCCCCAAGUGGUUUUUCUUUGUUUCUUUUUAGGGCCCGAGCGUAGCUGCUAAGCAGCUGCGAGAGCCCUAUUAUUCCUGAUGGAUUCUUCUUUAGGGCCCGAGCGUAGCUGCUAAGCAGCUGCGAGAGCCCUCUUGUUCCUGCAUGUUUCCUUCUUUCGUUAUUAUUUUUCCUCCGCUUCAAACUGGAAAAUGGCCCACUUCCCACUGGCGAAAACUCAGGACAUUUGGCAGGACGACCGGGCCUGGUGAAAAAUUCGAUAUUCUGAAGUCGCCCAAACAAUAAAAUGCAAAAUGGCUCCAUAGCGCCCCCUAAGGUGAAAAUUCACAUGACGGCUGUACGCUUUGUCAUAUUGACACAAAAAUUGACACACACAUGUAUCUCAAUAAGAUCUACAAAAAAGUCAGUGCGGGCGUAUCUGUCAAAUGUACGGUUAAUGGGUUAUUUUGCAUUUUUUGCCGAUCCGCACACAUUGGAAUUUUGCUAACUCCUCCGAAGGCUUUCGUUCCAAAGGCACCACAUUUGCUGAGGCCAAUCUACACCCCAUGGCCAUUAAAAGUUGUACAAAUCAUGACGCUGCACCCCACGGUUUACGUUCUAGGGGGCGCCAAAGAUAACCCAAAAAUCCACAGUCUUAAAAGUCUUAUAACUUUUUAUUUUUGUCCUCACUGGCCUCCAAGUUCUCUAGGAUGAUGCAAUGUCCAGCCAUCAACACAUUUGUGAAGGAAUUUUUACUCGCCAAAAGAGCGCCCCCCCCCCCAUGGCAGGAGAAAAAAGUCCAUUUUUUCUUGUCUCCUAAGGCCAAAAUACACAUUGUUGACUGUCACGCCUUUACGCUUUGUCAAAAUGACACAAAAUUUGACACACACAUGUAUCUCAAUAAGAUCUACAAAAAAGUCAGUGCGGGCGUAUCUGUCAAAUGUACGGUUAAAGGGUUAUUUCGCAUUUUUUGCCGAUCCGCACACAUUGGAAUUUCGCUAACUCCUCCUAAAUCUUUUGUCCCAUCGGCUUCAAAUUUGCUCAGGUCAAUCUACACCCCAUGGCCAUUCAAAGUUGUACAAAUCAUGACGCUGCACCCCACAGUUUACGUUCUAGGGGGCGCCAAAGAGGACCCAAAUAUCCACAUUUUUAAAAGUCUUAUAACUUUUUAUUUUUGUCCUCACUGGCCUCCAAGUUUUCUAGGAUGAUGCAAUGUCCAGCCAUCAACACAUUUGUGAAGGAAUUUUUUCUCCCCAAAAGAGCGCCCCCCCAUGGCAGGAGAAAAAGUCAAGUUUUUCCUGCCCAUCGCUCAAUGGCUCAAACGCAUCGCUCUCUCUGCAAAACCGAAAGGAGGAGCAACUUGCCAUUUGGAUAUAUACUAGCUGUGUUUGUGCCCUCACUCAUGGUCCAGACUUUUUUCAAAUAGGACAUGUAGUUUGUCUGCAGCGAGCGUUUUGGUAGAAACUGCGCCUCCCAUUCAUUAUAAUGGGAAAUGACCACAGACAAGUGCGCACACCAUCUUUGGACCUUGAGUGUGACGCGAUCGGGAGGGGGAGGCAGUCGCGCUGGGGGCGGCGCGACGCGGCUCGGGCCCGACAGUGCCCCACCGGGGCCCUAGUUCUUCUUCUUCUUCUUCUUCUUCUUAUUUUUCUGCCCCUUUGAACUGGAAAAUGGCCCACUUCCCACUGGUGAAAACUCAUGAAAUUUGGCAGGACGACCGGGCCUGGUGAAAAAUUCGAUAUUCUGAAGUCGCCCAAACAAUCAAAUGCAAAAUGGCUCCAUAGCGCCCCCUAAGGUGAAAAAUUCACAUGAUUGAGUGUCACACCUGUACGCUUUGUCAAAAUGACACAAAAUUUGACACACACGUGUAUCUCAAUAAGAUCUACAAAAAAGUCAGUGCGGGCGUAUCUGUCAAAUGUACGGUUAAAGGGCUAUUUCGCAUUUUUUGCCGAUCCGCACACAGUGGAAUUUCGCUAACUCCUCCGAAGGCUUUCGUUCCACCGGCACCACAUUUGCUCAGGCCAAUCUACACCCCAUGGCCAUUCAAAGUUGUACAAAUCAUGACGCUGCACCCCACGGUUUACGUUCUAGGGGGCGCCAAAGAUAACCCAAAAAUCCACAUUCUUAAAAGUCUAAUAACUUUUUAUUUUUGCCCUCACUGGCCUCCAAGUUUUCUAGGAUGAUGCAAUGACCAGCCAUCAACACAUUUGUGAAGGAAUUUUUACUCCCCAAAAGAGCGCCCCCCCAUGGCAGGAGAAAAAAGUCCAUUUUUUCUUGUCCCCUAAGGUGAAAAUACAUAUUGUUGAGUGUCACGCCUAUACGCUUUGUCAUAUUGACAUAAAAUUUGACACACACGUGUAUCUCAAUAAGAUCUACAAAAAAGUAUAUGCGCACGUAUCUGUCAAAUGUACGGUUAAAGGGCUAUUUUGCAUUUUUUGCGGAACCGCACACAUUGGAAUUUCGCUAACUCCUCCGAAGGCUUUCGUUCCACCGGCACCAAAUUUGCUCAGGCCAAUCUACACCCCAUGGCCAUUAAAAGUUGUACAAAUCAUGACGCUGCACCCCACGGUUUACGUUCUAGGGGGCGCCAAAAAUAACCCAAAAAUCCACAGUCUUAAAAGUCUUAUAACUUUUUAUUUUUGUCCUCACUGGCCUCCAAGUUUUCUAGGAUGAUGCAAUGUCCAGCCAUCAACACAUUUGUGAAGGAAUUUUUACUCCCCAAAAGAGCGCCCCCCCAUGGCAGGAGAAAAAAGUCCAUUUUUUCUUGUCCCAUAAGGUGAAAAUACACAUUGUUGAGUGUCACGCCUGUACGCUUUGUCAUAUUGAAACAAAAUUUGACAAUCACGUGUAUCUCAAUAAGAUCUACGAAAAAGUCAAUGCGCACGUAUCUGUAAAAUGUACGGUUAAAGGGCUAUUACGCAUUUUUGAUCGAUUCGCACACAUUGGAAUGUGGCUAACUCCUCCUAAAGCUUUCGUUCCACCGGCACCACAUUUGCUCAGGCCAAUCUACACCCCAUGGCCAUUAAAAGUUGUACAAAUCAUGACGCUGCACCCCACGGUUUACGUUCUAGGGGGCGCCAAAGAUAACCCAAAUAUCCACAUUCUUAAAAGUCUUAUAACUUUUCAUUUUUGUCCUCACUGGCUUCCAAGUUUUCUAGGAUGAUGCAAUGUCUAGCCAUCAACACAUUUGUGAAGGAAUUUUUACUCCCCAAAAGAGCCCCCCAUGGCAGGAGAAAAAGUCAAGUUUUUCCUGCCCAUCGCUCAAUGGCUCAAACACAUGUCAUGUGUUCAAACUCCUCCGAAAGGAGGAGCAACUUGCCAUUUGGAUAUAUCCUAGCUGUGUUUGUGCCCUCACUCAUGGAUCAGACUUUUUUCAAAUAGGACAUGUAGUUUGUCUGCAGCGAGUGUUUUGGUAGAAACUGCGCCUCCCAUUCAUUAUAAUGGGAAAUGACCACAGACAAGUGCGCACACCAUCUUUGGACCUUGAGUGUGACGCGAUCGGGAGGGGGAGGCGGUCGCGCUGGGGGCGGCGCAACGCGGCUCGGGCCCGACAGUGCCCCACCGGGGCCCUAGUCUUAUUAUUAUUAUUUUUCUGCCCCUUUGAACUGGAAAAUGGCCCACUUCCCACUGGUGAAAACUCAUGAAAUUUGGCAGGACGACUGGGCCUGGUGAAAAAUUCGAUAUUCUGAAGUCACCCAAACAAUCAAAUGCAAAAUGGCUCCAUAGCGCCCCCUAAGGUGAAAAAUUCACAUGAUUGAGUGUCACGCCUGUACGUUUUGUCAAAAUGACACAAAAUUUGACACACACGUGUAUCUCAAUCAGAUCUACAAAAAAGUCAGUGCGGGAGAAUCUGUCAAAUGUACGUUUAAAGGGCUAUUUCGCAUUUUUUGCCGAUCCGCACACAUUGGAAUUUCGCUAACUCCUCCGAAGGCUUUCGUUCCACCGGCACCAAAUUUGCUCAGGCCAAUCUACACCCCAUGGCCAUUCAAAGUUGUACAAAUCAUGACGCUGCACCCCACGGUUUACGUUGUAGGGGGCGCCAAAGAUAACCCAAAAAUCCACAUUCUUACAAGUCUUAUAACUUUUUAUUUCUGUCCUCACUGGCCUCCAAGUUUUCUAGGAUGAUGCAAUGUCCAGCCAUCAACACAUUUGUGAAGGAAUUUUUACUCCCCAAAAGAGCGCCCCCCCAUGGCAGGAGAAAAAAGGCCAUUUUUUCUUGUCCUAUAAGGUGAAAAUACACAUUGUUGAGUGUCACGCCUGUACGCUUUGUCAUAUUGAAACAAAAUUUGAUAAACACGUGUAUCUCAAUAAGAUCUACGAAAAAGUCAAUGCGCACGUGUCUGCAAAAUGUACGGUUAAAGGGCUAUUUCGCAUUUUUGGUUGAUUCGCUCACAUUGGAAUGUGGCUAACUCCUCCUAAAGCUUUCGUUCCACCGGCACCAAAUUUGCUCAGGCCAAUCUACACCCCAUGGCCAUUCAAAGUUGUACAAAUCAUGAUGCUGCACCCCACGGUUUACGUUCUAGGGGUCGCCAAAGAUAACCCAAAAAUCCACAUUCUUAAAAGUCUUAUAACUUUUCAUUUUUGUCCUCACUGGCUUCAAAGUUUUCUAGGAUGAUGCAAUGUCUAGCCAUCAACACAUUUGUGAAGGAAUUUUUUCUCCCUAAAAGAGUGCCCCCCCAUGGCAGGAGAAAAAGUCAAGUUUUUCCUGCCCAUCGCUCAAUGGCUCAAACACAUCGCUCUCUCGGAAAAAAACGAAAGGAGGAGGAACUUGCCAUUUGGAUAUAUCCUAGCUGUGUUUGUGCCCUCACUCAUGGUCCAGACUUUUUUCAAAUAGGACAUGUAGUUUGUCUGCAGCAAGCGUUUUGGUAGAAACUGCGCCUCCCAUUCAUUAUAAUGGUAAAUGACCACAGACAAGUGCGCACACCAUCGUUGAACCUUGAGUGUGACGCGAUCGGGAGGGAGAGGCGGUCGUGUUGGGGGCGGCGUGACACAGCUCGGGCCCGCCAGUGCCCCAACGGGGCCCUAGUUUCUUUUUCCUCCCUUUUGAACUGGAAAAUGGCCCACUUCCCACUGGCGAAAACUCAUGAAAUUUGGCAGGACGACCGGGCCUGGUGAAAAAUUUGAUAUUCCGAAGUCGCCCAAACAAGAAAAUGCAAAAUGGCUCCAUAGCGCCCCCUAAGGUGAAAAUUCACACUAUUGACUGUCACGCCUGUACGCUUUGUCAAAAUGACACAAAAAUUGACACACACAUGUAUCUCAAUAAGAUCUACAAAAAAGUCAGUGCGGGCGUAUCUGUCAAAUGUACGGUUAAAGGGCUAUUUCGCAUUUUUUGCCGAUCCGCACACAUUGGAGUUUCGCUAACUCCUCCGAAGGCUUUCGUUCCACCGGCACCACAUUUGCUCAGGCCAAUCUACACCCCAUGGCCAUUAAAAGUUAUUCAAAUCAUGACGCUGCACCCCACGGUUUAGGUUCUAGGGGGCGCCAAAGAUAACCCUAAAAUCCACAUAUUUAAAAGUCUUAUAACUUUUUAUUUUUGCCCUCACUGGCCUCCAAGUUUUCUAGGAUGAUGCAAUGUCCAGCCAUCAACACAUUUGUGAAGGAAUUUUUACUCCCCAAAAGAGCGCCCCCCCAUGGCAGGAGAAAAAAGUCCAUUUUUUCUUGUCCCCUAAGGUGAAAAUACACAUUGUUGAGUGUCACGCCUGUACGCUUUGUCAAAAUGACACAAAAAUUGACACACACAUGUAUCUCAAUAAGAUCUACAAAAAAGUCCAUGCGCGCGUAUCUGUCAAAUGUACGGUUAAAGGGUUAUUCCGCAUUUUUUGCCGAUUCGCACACAUUGGAAUUUCGCUAACUCCUCCGAAGGCUUUCGUUCCACCGGCACCACAUUUGCUCAGGCCAAAUUACACCCCAUGGCCAUUAAAAGUUAUUCAAAUCAUGACGCUGCACCCCACGGUUUACGUUCUAGGGGGCGCCAAAGAUAACCCAAAAAUCCACAUUUUAAAAGUCUUAUAACUUUUUAUUUUUGUCCUCACUGGCCUCCAAGUUUUCUAGGAUGAUGCAAUGUCCAGCCAUCAACACAUUUGUGAAGGAAUUUUUACUCCCUAAUAGAGCGCCCCCCCAUGGCAGGAGAAAAAAGUCCAUUUUUUCUUGUCCCCUAAGGUGAAAAUACACAUUGUUGACUGUCACGCCUGUACGCUUUGGCAAAAUGACACAAAAAUUGACAAUCAUGUGUAUCUCAAUUAGAUCUACGAAAAAGUCAAAGAGCCCGUAUCUGUAUAAUGUACGGUAAAAGGGCUAUUUUGCAUUUUUUGCCGAUUCGCACACAUUGGAAUUUCGCUAACUACUCCUAAGGCUUUCGUCCCACUGACACCAAAUUUGCUCAGGCCAAUCUACACUCCAUGGCCAUUCAAAGUUGUAAAAAUCAUGACGCUGCACCCCACGGUUUACGUUUUAGGGGGCGCCAAAGAUGACCCAAAUAUACAUUACAGUAGACAAAGUAGUUUUGCCCACUGAGUGGCGCCAAAGGGACUUGUCUGUGGAGUCUGUGAGUCACUAUUGGCCGUUUUUGACUACUUUAGAUUUUACCUUUAUAUUUCCUCUUACAAAAUUUUUACCUUGCCUUGCCUAGUAUCAUUUUUUUCAGCACAAACUCACCUGUGUCAAUUUACAGUUAUUUUAUCAUUUUGACAUACUAUAUUUACACAUUGGACCCAAAUUCACACACAAAACAUAAAAUCCGAGUGGAAAAAAGUAACGUUUUUACUGUGAAAACCACAAAUAUGUGUGAUGAACUGUUUUUAAAACUUAAACUUCAAAUAAAAAUUGUAAACUUCAAAACAUAUGCAAAUUUUUAACAAAGAACAUAGUAAUUUGCCUCUAUUUACAUCAAAAUGCAGGCAAUCGCCCAGGUGUUCUUUGUAAAAUUAUUUACAAAACACUGUAUAGUCUCACAAAUGUCACUUUUUAUUUAUGCCACUACAAAAAAACAUGAUGUAAAUGAUGCAUGAUGUAAAACAUGAUGUAAAAAACUUGUGUAGAUCCUCCUCUAUGUUAGUCCAUGUGUAAUUUUUCCAUAAUUCUUUGUUUUUUGCAGCAUUUUUGUUAGUGUAACUGCAGAUUGUGCUGACAGUGUCUAUGGCAAAAAAAAAAAAAAAAAAACUAAAAAUGCCUCAACAUGAACCCCUGGUGGUCUCUGAGGGUGAAACCUGCUAACUGCUGCAGCUCUGUCAGCUUCAGUCUCCCAUGCAGAGCUCGGAGCGCAUGUGUGGCUCUGCACCCUUAGCAGCGUUGCUAACUCCUCAGUAAGGAAAGCCUGCUUCAUGUCAGAGUCUCUAAACUCCAGAAGAAGUCGAUAAAAGUCACUUUCUUUCUAAAAAAAAGUCGUUAGGGGGUCUGAAAAGUCAUUGAAUCUAACAACAAAGUCGCUAGGUUUGCAACUACGUGUCCCAGACUGCAUCCCUGCUGAGAGUCCCUCCCUCCCUUCUCAUAUUGCAGGAAGAACGUAAGCGCCCGCCCCUUGUCAAUCAGUCACCAUAUAAUUUUGGAUUGGUUGUUGUGGUGAAGUUUUCCACCAAUAGGAGAGAUGUUGUGGUGUGUUUUUUUUUCCUUUGGCAAGCCUUUUCCGCCUGUAAGAGCUGUCGCUAAUGUCUGCAUGCUAUGUUUUCCUGUCUCAUACAGCGCGAUCGAGCGCCGAACGUGAUCAAAAUAAGCAGAAAACAAGUAUCGCGGACAUAAUUUAUCAUAACUCUGGUUUUAUUUGGCCUAUCAACACAAUUUAAAAACUGGUAUAUAGGUUGAGGUCCUCACUUUUGAGAUAAGUUGAAACGGAGAGUCAACGAGGCUCCGUCUUGCAGCUACAUCCGGUUAAAUAUGUCAUGUGACUUGAACGCACACACACACACACAGACACACACACACACGCACACACACACACUCAGAGUCUGGUUUUUAGCACCUGCAAAAACAUGCUAUUUACAUAUUUGACAAGAAUGCAGAGGCUCCUUUUGCCCCUGAAAAAAAUCAAAUUUCAAACACAACUUGACUGGUCAUUUCUCCAAAAGACAACCAUGAAGCUCCAUCCAAACCUGAAGCAGGCAGUUGGUGCAUGUGUACAGUAACCUGAGGGGAGUGAGGUGACUGCUUCUGAGGAGAACAUGAGCAGUGAAGAUUCACCUUAGAGCUAGAACAGAGACGUGCACAUGAUUAUACAGGGGCAGGGGCUCAAGUUUUUUCCAGUUGUUUAUACAAUAUGGAAAUUAAUGUGAAAUUAAAAAACAAAGUAUUAAUAGAAAGGUAAUGACUGUCCUGUGUAGGUGACAGUGAUAUCCAAUAGGCUAGGCACUCACGAGGCUGGCUGUGGCAAGUGUAAGUGAAAGCAACACGCACUGGCAGGAAGAACAGCAAACGCUGAUGAAGGAAAAGGGUCUUUGCAGUGAUGGGCGUUACCAGAGAGGGCGAUGGCCAGAGGAAACAAAUGGGACGGGGAGGCAGCGCGUUGGGGGGGGGACGCGACACAGCUCGGGCCCGCCAGUGCCCCAACGGGGUCCUAGUUAUUUUUGUCCUCACUGGCCUCCAUGUUUUCUAGGAUGAUGCAAUGUCCAGCCAUCAACACAUUUAUGAAGGAGUUUUUUCUCGUUAAAAGAGCGCCCCCCCAUGGCAGGAGAAUAAAGUCAAGUUUUUCCUGUUCAUCAUUCAAUGGCUCAAACGCACUGCUCUCUCGGCAAAAGCGAAAGGAGGAGCAACUUGCCAUUUGGAUAUAUCUUAGCUGUGUUUGUGCCCUCACUCAUGGUCCAGACUUUUUUCAAAUAGGACAUGGAGUUUUUCUGCAGCGAGCGUUUUGGUAGAAACUGCGCCUCCCGUUCAUUAUAAUGGUAAAUGACCACAAACAAGUGCGCACACCAUCUUUGGACCUUGAGUGUGACGCGAUCGGGUGGGGGAGGCGGUCGCGCUGGGGGUGGCGUGACACGGCUCGGGCCCGCCAGUGCCCCAACGGGGCCCUAGUUAUUAUUUUUCCUCCCCUUUGAACUGGAAAAUGGCCCACUUCCCACUGGCGAAAACUCAUGAAAUUUGGCAGGACGACCGGGCCUGGUGAAAAAUUUGAUAUUCCGAAGUCGCCCAAACAAGAAAAUGCAAAAUGGCUCCAUAGCGCCCCCUAAGGUGAAAAUUCACACUAUUCACUGUCACGCCUGUACGCUUUGUCAAAAUGACACAAAAAUUGACACACACAUGUAUCUCAGUAAGAUCUACAAAAAAGUCAGUGCGGGCGUAUCUGUCAAAUGUACGGUUAAAGGGUUAUUUCGCAUUUUUUGCCGAUCCGCACACAUUGGAAUUUCGCUAACUCCUCCGAAGGCUUUCGUUCCACCGGCACCACAUUUGCUCAGGCCAAUCUACACCCCAUGGCCAUUAAAAGUUAUUCAAAUCAUGACGCUGCACCCCACGGUUUAGGUUCUAGGGGGCGCCAAAAAUAACCCUAAAAUCCACAUAUUUAAAAGUCUUAUAACUUUUUAUUUUUGCCCUCACUGGCCUCCAAGUUUUCUAGGAUGAUGCAAUGUCCAGCCAUCAACACAUUUGUGAAGGAAUUUUUACUCCCCAAAAGAGCGCCCCCCCAUGGCAGGAGAAAAAAGUCAAUUUUUUCUAGUCCCCUAAGGUGAAAAUACACAUUGUUGAGUGUAACACCUGUACGCUUUGGCAAAAUGACACAAAAAUUGACACACACAUGUGUCUCUAUAAGAUCUACGAAAAAGUCAAUGCGAGCGUAUCUGUCAAAUGUACGGUUAAAGGGUUAUUCUGCAUUUUUUGCCGAUCCGCACACAUUGGAAUUUCGCUAACUCCUCCGAAGGCUUUCGUUCCACCGGCACCACAUUUGCUCAGGCCAAUCUACACCCCAUGGCCAUUAAAAGUUAUUCAAAUCAUGACGCUGCAUCCCACGGUUUAGGUUCUAGGGGGCGCCAAAGAUAACCCUAAAAUCCACAUAUUUAAAAGUCUUAUAACUUUUUAUUUUUGUCCUCACUGGCCUCCAAGUUUUCUAGGAUGAUGCAAUGUCCAGCCAUCAACACAUUUGUGAAGGAAUUUUUACUCCCCAAAAGAGCGCCCCCCCCCAUGGCAGGAGAAAAAAGUCCAUUUUUUCUUGUCCCCUAAGGUGAAAAUACACAUUGUUGAGUGUAACACCUGUACGCUUUGGCAAAAUGACACAAAAAUUGACACACACAUGUGUCUCUAUAAGAUCUACGAAAAAGUCAAUGCGAGCGUAUCUGUCAAAUGUACGGUUAAAGGGUUAUUCUGCAUUUUUUGCCGAUCCGCACACAUUGGAAUUUCGCUAACUCCUCCGAAGGCUUUCGUUCCACCGGCACCACAUUUGCUCAGGCCAAUCUACACCCCAUGGCCAUUAAAAGUUAUUCAAAUCAUGACGCUGCAUCCCACGGUUUAGGUUCUAGGGGGCGCCAAAGAUAACCCUAAAAUCCACAUAUUUAAAAGUCUUAUAACUUUUUAUUUUUGUCCUCACUGGCCUCCAAGUUUUCUAGGAUGAUGCAAUGUCCAGCCAUCAACACAUUUGUGAAGGAAUUUUUACUCCCCAAAAGAGCGCCCCCCCCCAUGGCAGGAGAAAAAAGUCAAUUUUUUCUUGUCCCCUAAGGUGAAAAUACACAUUGUUGAGUGUAACACCUGUACGCUUUGGCAAAAUGACACAAAAAUUGACACACACAUGUAUCUCAAUAAGAUCUACGAAAAAGUCAAUGCGCGCGUAUCUGUCAAAUGUACGGUUAAAGGGUUAUUCUGCUUUUUUUGCCGAUCCGCACACAUUGGAAUUUCGCUAACUCCUCCGAAGGCUUUCGUUCCACCGGCACCACAUUUGCUCAGGCCAAUCUACACCCCAUGGCCAUUAAAAGUUAUUCAAAUCAUGACGCUGCACCCCACGGUUUAGGUUCUAGGGGGCGCCAAAGAUAACCCUAAAAUCCACAUAUUUAAAAGUCUUAUAACUUUUUAUUUUUGUCCUCACUGGCCUCCAAGUUUUCUAGGAUGAUGCAAUGUCCAGCCAUCAACACAUUUGUGAAGGAAUUUUUACUCCCCAAAAGAGCGCCCCCCAUGGCAGGAGAAAAAAGUCCAUUUUUUCUUGUCCCCUAAGGUGAAAAUACAUAUUGUUGAGAUUCACGCCUAUACGCUUUGUCAUAUUGACACAAAAUUUGACAAUCACGUGCCUUGCCUGGUAUCAUUUUUUUCAGCACAACCUCACCUGUGCGAAUUUACAGUUAUUUUAUCAUGUUGACAUACUGAAUUUACACAAUGGACCCAAAUUCACACACAAAACAUAAAAUCCGAGUGGAAAAAAGUAACAUUUUUACUGUGAAAACCACAAAUAUGUGUGAUGAACUGUUUUUAAAACUUAAACUUCAAAUAAAAAUUGUAAACUUCAAGACAUAUGCAAAUUUUUAACAAAGAACAUAGUGAUUUACCUCUAUUUACAUCAAAAUGCAGGCAAUGGCCCAGGCGUUCUUUGUAAAAUUAUUUACAAAACACUGUAUAGUCUCACAAAUGUCACUUUUUAUUUAUGCCACUACAAAAAAACAUGAUGUAAAUGAUGCAUGAUGUAAAACAUGAUGUAAAAAACUUGUGUAGAUCCUCCUCUAUGUCAGUCCAUGUGUAAUUUUUCCAUAAUUCUUUGUUUUUUGCAGCAUUUUUGUUAGUGUAACUGCAGAUUGUGCUGACAGUGUCUAUGGCACAAAAAAAAAAAAAAUUAAAAUGCCUCAACAUGAACCCCUGGUGGUCUCUGAGGGUGAAACCUGCUAACUGCUGCAGCUCUGUCAGCUUCAGUCUCCCAUGCAGAGCUCUGAGCGCAUGUGUGGCUCUGCACCCUUAGCAGCGUUGCUAACUCCUCAGUAAGGAAAGCCUGCUUCAUGUCAGAGUCUCUAAACUCCAGAAGAAGUCAAUAAAAGUCCCUUUCUUUCUAAAAAAAAGUCGUUAGGGGGUCUGAAAAGUCAUUGAAUCUAACAACAAAGUCGCUAGGUUUGCAACUACGUGUCCCAGACUGCAUCCCUGCUGAGAGUCCCUCCCUCCCUUCUCAUGUUGCAGGAAGAACGUAAGCGCCCGCCCCUUGUCAAUCAGUCACCAUAUAAUUUUGGAUUGGUUGUUGUGGUGAAGUUUUCCACCAAUAGGAGAGAUGUUGUGGUGUGUUUUUUUUUUCUUUUGGCAAGCCUUUUCCGCCUGUAAGACCUGUCGCUAAUGUCUGCAUGCUAUGUUUUCCUGUCUCAUACAGCGCGAUCGAGCGCCGAACGUGAUAAAAAUAAGCAGAAAAAAAGUAUCGCGGACAUAAUUUAUCAUAACUCUGGUUUUAUUUGGCCUAUCAACACAAUUUUAAAACUGGUAUAUAGGUUGAGGUCCUCACUUUUGAGAUAAGUUGAAACGGAGAGUCAACGAGGCUCCGUCUUGCAGCUACAUCCGGUUAAAUAUGUCAUGUGACUUGAACGCACACACAGACACACACACACGCACACACACACACACACACACACACACACACACACUCAGAGUCUGGUUUUUAGCACCUGCAAAAACAUGCUAUUUACAUAUUUGACAAGAAUGCAGAGGCUCCUUUUGCCCCUGAAAAAAAUCAAAUUUCAAACACAACUUGACUGGUCAUUUCUCCAAAAGACAACCAUGAAGCUCCAUCCAAACCUGAAGCAGGCAGUUGGUGCAUGUGUACAGUAACCUGAGGGGAGUGAGGUGAGUGCUUCUGAGGAGAACAUGAGCAGUGAAGAUUCACCUUGGAGCUAGAACAGAGACAUGCACAUGAUUAUACAGGGGCAGGGGCUCAAGUUUUUUCCAGUCGUUUAUACAAUAUGGAAAUUAAUGUGAAAUUAAAACACAAAGUAUUAAUAGAAAGGUAAUGACUGUCCUGUGUAGGUGACAGUGAUAUCCAAUAGGCUAGGCACUCACGAGGCUGGCUGUGGCAAGUGUAAGUGAAAGCAACACGCACUGGCAGGAAGAACAGCAAACGCCGAUGAAGGAAAAGGGUCUUUGCAGUGAUGGGCGUUACCAGAGAGGGCGAUGGCCAGAGGACACAAAUGGGACGGGGAGGCAGCGCGUUGGGGGGGGGGGGGGGGGCGACACGGCUCGGGCCCGCCAGUGCCCCAACGGGGUCCUAGUUAGGGCCCGAGCGUAGCUGCUAAGCAGCUGCGAGAGCCCUCUUGUUCUUGUAGUUUCCUUCUUUUUAGGGCCCGAGCCAGCUGCAGAGCAGCCGGGCGUAGGCCCUAUUAUUCCCCAAGUGGUUUUUCUUUGUUUCUUUCUUUCUUUCUUUCUUUCUUUCUUCUUUUUCCUCCCCUUUGAACUGGAAAAUGGCCCACUUCCCACUGGCGAAAACUCAUGAAAUUUGGCAGGACGACCGGGCCUGGUGAAAAAUUCGAUAUUCUGAAGUCGCCCAAACAAUAAAAUGCAAAAUGGCUCCAUAGCGCCCCCUAAGGUGGAAAUUCACACUAUUGACUGUCACGCCUGUACGCUUUGUCAUAUUGACACAAAAAUUGACACACAUAUGUAUCUCAAUAAGAUCUACAAAAAAGUCAGUGCGGCCGUAUCUGUCAAAUGUACGGUCAAAGGGUUAUUUCGCAUUUUUUGCCGAUCCGCACACAUUGGAAUUUCGCUAACUCCUCCGAAGGCUUUCGUUCCACCGGCACCACAUUUGCUCAGGCCAAUCUACACCCCGUGGCCAUUAAAAGUUAUCAAAAUCAUGACGCUGCACCCCAAGGUUUAGGUUCUAGGGGGCGCCAAAGAUAACACUAAAAUCCACAUAUUUAAAAGUCUUAUAACUUUUUAUUUUUGUCCUCACUGGCCUCCAAGUUUUCUAGGAUGAUGCAAUGUCCAGCCAUCAACACAUUUGUGAAGGAAUUUUUACUCCCCAAAAGAGCGCCCCCCCAUGGCAGGAGAAAAAAGUCCAUUUUUUCUUGUCCCCUAAGGUGAAAAUACACAUUGUUGAGUGUCACGCCUAUACGCUUUGUCAAAAUGACACAAAAAUUGACACACAUAUGUAUCUCAAUAAGAUCUACAAAAAAGUCGAUGCGGCCGUAUCUGUCAAAUGUACGGUCAAAGGGUUAUUUCGCAUUUUUUGCCGAUCCGCACACAUUGGAAUUUCGCUAACUCCUCCGAAGGCUUUCGUUCCACCGGCACCACAUUUGCUCAGGCCAAUCUACACCCCGUGGCCAUUAAAAGUUAUCAAAAUCAUGACGCUGCACCCCAAGGUUUAGGUUCUAGGGGGCGCCAAAGGUAACACUAAAAUCCACAUAUUUAAAAGUCUUAUAACUUUUUAUUUUUGUCCUCACUGGCCUCCAAGUUUUCUAGGAUGAUGCAAUGUCCAGCCAUCAACACAUUUGUGAAGGAAUUUUUACUCCCCAAAAGAGCGCCCCCCAUGGCAGGAGAAAAAAGUCAAUUUUUUCUUGUCCCCUAAGGUGAAAAUACACAUUGUUGAGUGUCACGCCUAUACGCUUUGUCAAAAUGACACAAAAAUUGACACACACAUGUAACUCAAUAAGAUCUACGAAAAAGUCAAUGCGCGCGUAUCUGUCAAAUGUACGGUUAAAGGGUUAUUCCGCAUUUUUUGCCGAUCCGCACACAUUGGAAUGUGGCUAACUCCUCCUAAGGCUUUCGUUCCACCGGCACCACAUUUGCUCAGGACAAUCUACACCCCAUGGCCAUUAAAAGUUAUUCAAAUCAUGACGCUGCACCCCACGGUUUAGGUUCUAGGGGGCGCCAAAGAUAACCCUAAAAUCCACAUAUUUAAAAGUCUUAUAACUUUUUAUUUUUGUCCUCACUGGCCUCCAAGUUUUUUAGUUUUCUAGGAUGAUGCAAUGUCCAGCCAUCAACACAUUUGUGAAGGAAUUUUUACUCCCCAAAAGAGCGCCCCCCCAUGGCAGGAGAAAAAAGUCCAUUUUUUCUUGUCCCCUAAGGUGAAAAUACAUAUUGUUGAGAUUCACGCCUAUACGCUUUGUCAUAUUGACACAAAAUUUGACAAUCACGUGCCUUGCCUGGUAUCAUUUUUUCAGCACAACCUCACCUGUGCGAAUUUACAGUUAUUUUAUCAUGUUGACAUACUGAAUUUACACAAUGGACCCAAAUUCACACACAAAACAUAAAAUCCGAGUGGAAAAAAGUAACAUUUUUACUGUGAAAACCACAAAUAUGUGUGAUGAACUGUUUUUAAAACUUAAACUUCAAAUAAAAAUUGUAAACUUCAAAACAUAUGCAAAUUUUUAACAAAGAACAUAGUGAUUUACCUCUAUUUACAUCAAAAUGCAGGCAAUGGCCCAGGCGUUCUUUGUAAAAUUAUUUACAAAACACUGUAUAGUCUCACAAAUGUCACUUUUUAUUUAUGCCACUACAAAAAAACAUGAUGUAAAUGAUGCAUGAUGUAAAACAUGAUGUAAAAAACUUGUGUAGAUCCUCCUCUAUGUCAGUCCAUGUGUAAUUUUUCCAUAAUUCUUUGUUUUUUGCAGCAUUUUUGUUAGUGUAACUGCAGAUUGUGCUGACAGUGUCUAUGGCACAAAAAAAAAAAAUUUAAAAUGCCUCAACAUGAACCCCUGGUGGUCUCUGAGGGUGAAACCUGCUAACGGCUGCAGCUCUGUCAGCUUCAGUCUCCCAUGCAGAGCUCUGAGCGCAUGUGUGGCUCUGCACCCUUAGCAGCGUUGCUAACUCCUCAGUAAGGAAAGCCUGCUUCAUGUCAGAGUCUCUAAACUCCAGAAGAAGUCGAUAAAAGUCCCUUUCUUUCUAAAAAAAAGUCGUUAGGGGGUCUGAAAAGUCAUUGAAUCUAACAACAAAGUCGCUAGGUUUGCAACUACGUGUCCCAGACUGCAUCCCUGCUGAGAGUCCCUCCCUCCCUUCUCAUGUUGCAGGAAGAACGUAAGCGCCCGCCCCUUGUCAAUCAGUCACCAUAUAAUUUUGGAUUGGUUGUUGUGGUGAAGUUUUCCACCAAUAGGAGAGAUGUUGUGGUGUGUUUUUUUUUUCUUUUGGCAAGCCUUUUCCGCCUGUAAGACCUGUCGCUAAUGUCUGCAUGCUAUGUUUUCCUGUCUCAUACAGCGCGAUCGAGCGCCGAACGUGAUCAAAAUAAGCAGAAAAAAAGUAUCGCGGACAUAAUUUAUCAUAACUCUGGUUUUAUUUGGCCUAUCAACACAAUUUAAAAACUGGUAUAUAGGUUGAGGUCCUCACUUUUGAGAUAAGUUGAAACGGAGAGUCAACGAGGCUCCGUCUUGCAGCUACAUCCGAUUAAAUAUGUCAUGUGACUUGAACGCACACACAGACACACACACACGCACACACACACACACACACACACACACACACACUCAGAGUCUGGUUUUUAGCACCUGCAAAAACAUGCUAUUUACAUAUUUGACAAGAAUGCAGAGGCUCCUUUUGCCCCUGAAAAAAAUCAAAUUUCAAACACAACUUGACUGGUCAUUUCUCCAAAAGACAACCAUGAAGCUCCAUCCAAACCUGAAGCAGGCAGUUGGUGCAUGUGUACAGUAACCUGAGGGGAGUGAGGUGAGUGCUUCUGAGGAGAACAUGAGCAGUGAAGAUUCACCUUGGAGCUAGAACAGAGACAUGCACAUGAUUAUACAGGGGCAGGGGCUCAAGUUUUUUCCAGUCGUUUAUACAAUAUGGAAAUUAAUGUGAAAUUAAAACACAAAGUAUUAAUAGAAAGGUAAUGACUGUCCUGUGUAGGUGACAGUGAUAUCCAAUAGGCUAGGCACUCACGAGGCUGGCUGUGGCAAGUGUAAGUGAAAGCAACACGCACUGGCAGGAAGAACAGCAAACGCCGAUGAAGGAAAAGGGUCUUUGCAGUGAUGGGCGUUACCAGAGAGGGCGAUGGCCAGAGGACACAAAUGGGACGGGGAGGCAGCAUGUUGGGGGGUGGGGGGGUGGGGGGGGGGGGGGGACGCGACACGGCUCGGGCCCGCCAGUGCCCCAACGGGGUCCUAGUUAGGGCCCGAGCCAGCUGCAGAGCAGCCGGGCGUAGGCCCUGUUAUUCCUGUAGGGGUUUUUCUUUGUUUCUUUCUUUCUUCUUUUUCCUCCCCUUUGAACUGGAAAAUGGCCCACUUCCCACUGGCGAAAACUCAGGAAAUUUGGCAGGACGACCGGGCCUGGUGAAAAAUUUGAUAUUCUGAAGUCGCCAAAACAAGAAAAUGCAAAAUGGCUCCAUAGCGCCCCCUAAGGUGAAAAUUCACACUAUUGACUGUCACGCGUGUACGCUUUGUCAAAAUGACACAAAAAUUGACACACACAUGUAUCUCAAUAAGAUCUACAAAAAAGUCAGUGCGGGCGUAUCUGUCAAAUGUACGGUUAAAGGGUUAUUUCGCAUUUUUUGCCGAUCCGCACACAUUGGAAUUUCGCUAACUCCUCCGAAGGCUUUCGUUCCACCGGCACCACAUUUGCUCAGGCCAAUCUACACCCCGUGGCCAUUAAAAGUUAUCAAAAUCAUGACGCUGCACCCCAAGGUUUAGGUUCUAGGGGGCGCCAAAGAUAACCCUAAAAUCCACAUAUUUAAAAGUCUUAUAACUUUUUAUUUUUGUCCUCACUGGCCUCCAAGUUUUCUAGGAUGAUGCAAUGUCCAGCCAUCAACACAUUUGUGAAGGAAUUUUUACUCCCCAAAAGAGCGCCCCCCCAUGGCAGGAGAAAAAAGUCCAUUUUUUCUUGUCCCCUAAGGUGAAAAUUCACACUAUUGACUGUCACGCGUGUACGCUUUGUCAAAAUGACACAAAAAUUGACACACACAUGUAUCUCAAUAAGAUCUACAAAAAAGUCAGUGCGGGCGUAUCUGUCAAAUGUACGGUUAAAGGGUUAUUUCGCAUUUUUUGCCGAUCCGCACACAUUGGAAUUUCGCUAACUCCUCCGAAGGCUUUCGUUCCACCGGCACCACAUUUGCUCAGGCCAAUCUUCACCCCGUGUCCAUUAAAAGUUAUCAAAAUCAUGACGCUGCACCCCAAGGUUUAGGUUCUAGGGGGCGCCAAAGAUAACCCUAAAAUCCACAUAUUUAAAAGUCUUAUAACUUUUUAUUUUUGUCCUCACUGGCCUCCAAGUUUUCUAGGAUGAUGCAAUGUCCAGCCAUCAACACAUUUGUGAAGGAAUUUUUACUCCCCAAAAGAGCGCCCCCCCAUGGCAGGAGAAAAAAGUCCAUUUUUUCUUGUCCCCUAAGGUGAAAAUACACAUUGUUGAGUGUCACGCCUAUACGCUUUGUCAAAAUGACACAAAAAUUGACACACACAUGUAACUCAAUAAGAUCUACGAAAAAGUCAAUGCGCGCGUAUCUGUCAAAUGUACGGUUAAAGGGUUAUUCCGCAUUUUUUGCCGAUCCGCACACAUUGGAAUGUGGCUAACUCCUCCUAAGGCUUUCGUUCCACCGGCACCACAUUUGCUCAGGCCAAUCUACACCCCAUGGCCAUUAAAAGUUAUUCAAAUCAUGACGCUGCACCCCACGGUUUAGGUUCUAGGGGGCGCCAAAGACAACCCUAAAAUCCACAUAUUUAAAAGUCUUAUAACUUUUUAUUUUUGUCCUCACUGGCCUCCAAGUUUUCUAGGAUGAUGCAAUGUCCAGCCAUCAACACAUUUGUGAAGGAAUUUUUACUCCCCAAAAGAGCGCCCCCCAUGGCAGGAGAAAAAAGUCCAUUUUUUCUUGUCCCCUAAGGUGAAAAUACAUAUUGUUGAGAUUCACGCCUAUAUGCUUUGUCAUAAUGACACAAAAUUUGACAAUCACGUGCCUUGCCUGGUAUCAUUUUUUUUCAGCACAACCUCACCUGUGCGAAUUUACAGUUAUUUUAUCAUGUUGACAUACUGAAUUUACACAAUGGACCCAAAUUCACACACAAAACAUAAAAUCAGAGUGGAAAAAAGUAACAUUUUUACUGUGAAAACCACAAAUAUGUGUGAUGAACUGUUUUUAAAACUUAAACUUCAAAUAAAAAUUGUAAACUUCAAAACAUAUGCAAAUUUUUAACAAAGAACAUAGUGAUUUACCUCUAUUUACAUCAAAAUGCAGGCAAUGGCCCAGGCGUUCUUUGUAAAAUUAUUUACAAAACACUGUAUAGUCUCACAAAUGUCACUUUUUAUUUAUGCCACUACAAAAAAACAUGAUGUAAAUGAUGCAUGAUGUAAAACAUGAUGUAAAAAACUUGUGUAGAUCCUCCUCUAUGUCAGUCCAUGUGUAAUUUUUCCAUAAUUCUUUGUUUUUUGCAGCAUUUUUGUUAGUGUAACUGCAGAUUGUGCUGACAGUGUCUAUGGCACAAAAAAAAAAAAAAAUUAAAAUGCCUCAACAUGAACCCCUGGUGGUCUCUGAGGGUGAAACCUGCUAACUGCUGCAGCUCUGUCAGCUUCAGUCUCCCAUGCAGAGCUCUGAGCGCAUGUGUGGCUCUGCACCCUUAGCAGCGUUGCUAACUCCUCAGUAAGGAAAGCCUGCUUCAUGUCAGAGUCUCUAAACUCCAGAAGAAGUCGAUAAAAGUCCCUUUCUUUCUAAAAAAAAGUCGUUAGGGGGUCUGAAAAGUCAUUGAAUCUAACAACAAAGUCGCUAGGUUUGCAACUACGUGUCCCAGACUGCAUCCCUGCUGAGAGUCCCUCCCUCCCUUCUCAUGUUGCAGGAAGAACGUAAGCGCCCUCCCCUUGUCAAUCAGUCACCAUAUAAUUUUGGAUUGGUUGUUGUGGUGAAGUUUUCCACCAAUAGGAGAGAUGUUGUGGUGUGUUUUUUUUUUCUUUUGGCAAGCCUUUUCCGCCUGUAAGACCUGUCGCUAAUGUCUGCAUGCUAUGUUUUCCUGUCUCAUACAGCGCGAUCGAGCGCCGAACGUGAUCAAAAUAAGCAGAAAAAAAGUAUCGCGGACAUAAUUUAUCAUAACUCUGGUUUUAUUUGGCCUAUCAACACAAUUCAAAAACUGGUAUAUAGGUUGAGGUCCUCACUUUUGAGAUAAGUUGAAACGGAGAGUCAACGAGGCUCCGUCUUGCAGCUACAUCCGGUUAAAUAUGUCAUGUGACUUGAACGCACACACAGACACACACACACGCACACACACACACACACACACACACACACACACACUCAGAGUCUGGUUUUUAGCACCUGCAAAAACAUGCUAUUUACAUAUUUGACAAGAAUGCAGAGGCUCCUUUUGCCCCUGAAAAAAAAAUCAAAUUUCAAACACAACUUGACUGGUCAUUUCUCCAAAAGACAACCAUGAAGCUCCAUCCAAACCUGAAGCAGGCAGUUGGUGCAUGUGUACAGUAACCUGAGGGGAGUGAGGUGAGUGCUUCUGAGGAGAACAUGAGCAGUGAAGAUUCACCUUGGAGCUAGAACAGAGACAUGCACAUGAUUAUACAGGGGCAGGGGCUCAAGUUUUUUCCAGUCGUUUAUACAAUAUGGAAAUUAAUGUGAAAUUAAAACACAAAGUAUUAAUAGAAAGGUAAUGACUGUCCUGUGUAGGUGACAGUGAUAUCGAAUAGGCUAGGCACUCACGAGGCUGGCUGUGGCAAGUGUAAGUGAAAGCAACACGCACUGGCAGGAAGAACAGCAGAACAGCAGUCUUUGCAGUGAUGGGCGUUACCAGAGAGGGCGAUGGCCAGAGGACACAAAUGGGACGGGGAGGCGGUCGCGUUGGGGGGGGGGGAGCUCGGGCCCGCCAGUGCCCCAACGGGGUCCUAGUUAUUUUUCCUCCCCUUUGAACUGGAAAAUGGCCCACUUCCCACUGGCGAAAACUCAUGAAAUUUGGCAGGACGACCGGGCCUGGUGAAAAAUUUGAUAUUCCGAAGUCGCCCAAACAAGAAAAUGCAAAAUGGCUCCAUAGCGCCCCCUAAGGUGAAAAUUCACACUAUUCACUGUCACGCCUGUACGCUUUGUCAAAAUGACACAAAAAUUGACACACACAUGUAUCUCAAUAAGAUCUACAAAAAAGUCAGUGCGGGCGUAUCUGUCAAAUGUACGGUUAAAGGGUUAUUUCGCAUUUUUUGCCGAUCUGCACACAUUGGAAUUUCGCUAACUCCUCCGAAGGCUUUCGUUCCACCGGCACCACAUUUGCUCAGGCCAAUCUACACCCCAUGGCCAUUAAAAGUUAUUCAAAUCAUGACGCUGCACCCCACGGUUUAGGUUCUAGGGGGCGCCAAAGAUAACCCUAAGAUCCACAUAUUUAAAAGUCUUAUAACUUUUUAUUUUUGCCCUCACUGGCCUCCAAGUUUUCUAGGAUGAUGCAAUGUCCAGCCAUCAACACAUUUGUGAAGGAAUUUUUACUCGCCAAAAGAGCGCCCCCCCAUGGCAGGAGAAAAAAGUCCAUUUUUUCUUGUCCACUAAGGUGAAAAUACACAUUGUUGAGUGUCACGCCUGUAUGUUUUGUCGUAUUGACACAAAAUUUUACAUACACGUGUAUUUCAAUAAGAUCUUCGAAAAAGUCAAUGGCCACGUAUCUGUAAAAUGUACGGUUAAAGGGUUAUUUCGCAUUUUUUGCAGAUUCGCACACAUUGGAAUUUCGCUAACUCCUCCGAAGGCUUUCGUUCCACCGGCACCACAUUUGCUCAGGCCAAUCUACACCCCAUGGCCAUUAAAAGUUAUUCAAAUCAUGACGCUGCACCCCACGGUUUAGGUUCUAGGGGGCGCCAAAGAUAACCCUAAAAUCCACAUAUUUAAAAGUCUUAUAACUUUUUAUUUUUGUCCUCACUGGCCUCCAUGUUUUCUAGGAUGAUGCAAUGUCCAGCCAUCAACACAUUUGUGAAGGAGUUUUUUCUCGUUAAAAGAGCGCCCCCCCCAUGGCAGGAGAAUAAAGUCAAGUUUUUCCUGUUCAUCAUUCAAUGGCUCAAACGCACUGCUCUCUCGGCAAAAGCGAAAGGAGGAGCAACUUGCCAUUUGGAUAUAUCUUAGCUGUGUUUGUGCCCUCACUCAUGGUCCAGACUUUUUUCAAAUAGGACAUGGAGUUUUUCUGCAGCGAGCGCUUUGGUAGAAACUGCGCCUCCCGUUCAUUAUAAUGGUAAUUGACCACAAACAAGUGCGCACACCAUCUUUGGACCUUGAGUGUGACGCGAUCGGGUGGGGGAGGCGGUCGCGCUGGGGGCGGCGUGACACGGCUCGGGCCCGCCAGUGCCCCAACGGGGCCCUAGUUAGGGCCCGAGCGUAGCUGCUAAGCAGCUGCGAGAGCCCUAUUAUUCCCCAAGUGGUUUUUCUUUGUUUCUUUCUUUCUUCUUUUUCCUCCCCUUUGAACUGGAAAAUGGCCCACUUCCCACUGGCGAAAACUCAUGAAAUUUGGCAGGAUGACCGGGCCUGGUGAAAAAUUUGAUAUUCCGAAGUCGCCCAAACAAGAAAAUGCAAAAUGGCUCCAUAGCGCCCCCUAAGGUGAAAAUUCACACUAUUGACUGUCACGCCUGUACGCUUUGUCAUAUUGACACAAAAAUUGACACACACAUGUAUCUCAAUAAGAUCUACAAAAAAGUCAGUGCGGGCGUAUCUGUCAAAUGUACGGUUAAAGGGUUAUUCCGCAUUUUUUGCCGAUCCGCACACAUUGGAAUUUCGCUAACUCCUCCGAAGGCUUUCGUUCCACCGGCACCACAUUUGCUCAGGCCAAUCUACACCCCAUGGCCAUUAAAAGUUAUUCAAAUCAUGACGCUGCACCCCACGGUUUAGGUUCUAGGGGGCGCCAAAGAUAACCCUAAAAUCCACAUAUUUAAAAGUCUUAUAACUUUUUAUUUUUGACCUCACUGGCCUCCAAGUUUUCUAGGAUGAUGCAAUGUCCAGCCAUCAACACAUUUGUGAAGGAAUUUUUAAUCCCCAAAAGAGCGCCCCCCCAUGGCAGGAGAAAAAAGUCCAUUUUUUCUUGUCCCCUAAGGUGAAAAUACACAUUGUUGAGUGUCACGCCUGUACGCUUUGUCAUAUUGACACAAAAUUUGACACACACAUGUAUCUCAAUAAGAUCUACGAAAAAGUCAAUGCGCGCGUAUCUGUCAAAUGUACGGUUAAAGGGUUAUUCCGCAUUUUUUGCUGAUCCGCACACAUUGGAAUUUCGCUAACUCCUCCUAAGGCUGGCGUUCCACCGGCACCACAUUUGCUCAGGCCAAUCUACACCCCAUGGCCAUUAAAAGUUAUUCAAAUCAUGACGCUGCACCCCACGGUUUAGGUUCUAGGGGGCGCCAAAGAUAACCCUAAAAUCCACAUAUUUCAAAGUCUUAUAACUUUUUAUUUUUGUCCUCACUGGCCUCCAAGUUUUCUAGGAUGAUGCAAUGUCCAGCCAUCAACACAUUUGUGAAGGAAUUUUUACUCCCCAAAAGAGCGCCCCCCCAUGGCAGGAGAAAAAAGUCCAUUUUUUCUUGUCCCAUAAGGUGAAAAAACACAUUGUUGACUGUCAUACCUGUACGUUUUUUCAUAUUGACACAAAAUUUGACAAUCACAUGUAUCUCAAUAAGAUCUACAAAAAAGUCAGUGCGGGCGUAUCUGUCAAAUGUACGGUUAAAGGGUUAUUCCGCAUUUUUUGCCGAUCCGCACACAUUGGAAUUUCGCUAACUCCUCCGAAGGCUUUCGUUCCACCGGCACCACAUUUGCUCAGGCCAAUCUACACCCCAUGGCCAUUAAAAGUUAUUCAAAUCAUGACGCUGCACCCCACGGUUUAGGUUCUAGGGGGCGCCAAAGAUAACCCUAAAAUCCACAUAUUUAAAAGUCUUAUAACUUUUUAUUUUUGACCUCACUGGCCUCCAAGUUUUCUAGGAUGAUGCAAUGUCCAGCCAUCAACACAUUUGUGAAGGAAUUUUUAAUCCCCAAAAGAGCGCCCCCCCAUGGCAGGAGAAAAAAGUCAAUUUUUUCUUGUCCCCUAAGGUGAAAAUACACAUUGUUGAGUGUCACGCCUGUACGCUUUGUCAUAUUGACACAAAAUUUGACACACACAUGUAUCUCAAUAAGAUCUACGAAAAAGUCAAUGCACGCGUAUCUGUCAAAUGUACGGUUAAAGGGUUAUUCCGCAUUUUUUGCUGAUCCGCACACAUUGGAAUUUCACUAACUCCUCCUAAGGCUGGCGUUCCACCGGCACCACAUUUGCUCAGGCCAAUCUACACCCCAUGGCCAUUAAAAGUUAUUCAAAUCAUGACGCUGCACCCCACGGUUUAGGUUCUAGGGGGCGCCAAAGAUAACCCUAAAAUCCACAUAUUUCAAAGUCUUAUAACUUUUUAUUUUUGUCCUCACUGGCCUCCAAGUUUUCUAGGAUGAUGCAAUGUCCAGCCAUCAACACAUUUGUGAAGGAAUUUUUACUCCCCAAAAGAGCGCCCCCCCAUGGCAGGAGAAAAAAGUCCAUUUUUUCUUGUCCCAUAAGGUGAAAAAACACAUUGUUGACUGUCAUACCUGUACGCUUUGUCAUAUUGACACAAAAUUUGACAAUCACAUGUAUCUCAAUAAGAUCUACGAAAAAGUCAAUGCGCGCGUAUCUGUAAAAUGUACGGUUAAAGGGCUAUUUUGCAUUUUUUGCCGAUUCGCACACAUUGGAAUGUGGCUAACUCCUCCUAAGGCUUUCGUCCCACUGACACCAAAUUUGCUCAGGCCAAUCUACACCCCAUGGCCAUUCAAAGUUGUAAAAAUCAUGACGCUGCACCCCACGGUUUACGUUCUAGGGGGCGCCAAAGAUGACCCAAAUAUCCACAUUCUUAAAAGAAUCCACAUCCCCCCCCCCCAUCCCCCAACCCCCAACCCCCAACCCCCAUGGCAGGAGAAACAGUCAAGUUUUUCCUGCCCAUCACUCAAUGGCUCAAUCGCAUCACUCUCCCGGCAACACCGUAACAAGGAGCAACUUGCCGUUUGGAUAUAUCCUAGCUGUGUUUGUGCCCUCACUCAUGGUCCAGACUUUUUUCAAAUAGGACAUGUAGUUUGUCUGCAGCGAGUGUUUUGGUAGAAACUGCGCCUCCCAUUCAUUAUAAUGGGAAAUGACCACAGACAAGUGCGCACACCAUCUUUUGACCUUGAGUGUGACGCGAUCGGGAGGGGGAGGCGGUCGCGCUGGGGGCGGCGCAACGCGGCUCGGGCCCGACAGUGCCCCACCGGGGCCCUAGUUCUUUCUUUCUUAGGGCCCGAGCGUAGCUGCUAAGCAGCUGCGAGAGCCCUCUUGUUCCUGAUGGAUUCUUCUUUCGUUAUUUUUCCUCCGCUUUAAACUGGAAAAUGGCCCACUUCCCACUGGCGAAAACUCAGGAAAUUUGGCAGGACGACCGGGCCUGGUGAAAAAUUUGAUAUUCUGAAGUCGUCCAAACAAAAAAAUGAAAAAUGGCUCCAUAGCGCCCCCUAUGGUGAAAACUCACCUGAUGCCUGUACGCUUUGUCAAAAUGACACAAAAUUUGACACACAUAUGUAUCUCAAUAAGAUCUACGAAAAAGUCAGUGCGGGCGUAUCUGCCAAAUGUACGGUUAAAGGGCUAUUUCGCUUUUUUUGCUGAUCCGCACACAUUGGAAUUUCGCUAACUCCUCCGAAGGCUUUCGUUCCACCGGCACCAAAUUUGCUCAGGCCAAUCUACACCCCAUGGCCAUUAAAAGUUGUACAAAUCAUGAUGCUGCACCCCACGGUUUACUUUCUAGGGGGCGCCAAAGAUAACACAAAAAUCCACAUUCUUAAAAGUCUUAUAACUUUUUAUUUUUGUCCUCACUGGCCUCCAAGUUUUCUAGGAUGAUGCAAUGUCCAGCCAUCAACACAUUUGUGAAGGAAUUUUUACUCCCCAAAAGAGCGCCCCCCCAUGGCAGGAGAAAAAAGUCAAUUUUUUCUUGUCUCCUAAGGUAAAAAUACACAUUGUUGAGUGUCACGCCUAUACACUUUGUCAUAUUGACACACAAUUUGACAAUCACGUGUAUCUCAAUAAGAUCUACAAAAAAGUCAAUAGGCACGUAUCUGUCAAAUGUAUGGUUAAAGGGCUAUUUCGCAUUUUUUGCCGAUUCGCACACAUUGGAAUGUGGCUAUCUCCUCCUAAGGCUUUCGUCCCACCGAUACCAAAUUUGCUCAGGGCAAUCUACACCCCAUGGCCAUUCAAAGUUGUAAAAAUCAUGACGCUGCACCCCACGGUUUACGUUCUAGGGGGCGCCAAAGAUAACCCAAAAAUCCACAUUCUUAAAAGUCAUUUUGGCCACUGCAGGAGUACAGAGUACUGCAGUUCUAGGGGGCGCCAAAGAUGACCCAAAAAUCCACAUUCUUAAAAGUCUUUUUGGCCACUGCAGGAGUACAGAGUACUGCCGGACACACACACAUAUACACACACGCCAACACACACACACACACACACACACACACACACACACACACACACACACACACACACACACACACACACACACACUCAGAGUCUGUUUUUUAGCACCUGCAAAAACAUGCUGUUUACAUAUUUGACAAGAAUGCAGAGGCUUCCUUUUGCCCCUGAAAAAAAUCAAAUUUCAAACACAACUUGACUGUUCAUUUCUCCAAAAGACAACCAUGAAGCUCCAUCCAAACCUGAAGCAGAUAGUUGGUGCAUGUGUACAGUAACCUGAGGAGAGUGAGGUGACUACUUCUGAGGAGAACAUGAGCAGUGAAGAUUCACCUUGGAGCUAGAACAGGGACGUGCACAUGAUUAUACAGGGGCAGGGGCUCAAGUUUUUUCCAGUCAUUUAUACAAUAUGGAAAUUAAUGUGAAAUUAAACCACAAAUAUGUGUGAUGAACUGUUUUUAAAACUUAAACUUCAAAUAAAAAUUGUAAACUUCAAAACAUAUGCAAAUUUUUAACAAAGAACAUAGUAAUUUACCUCUAUUUACAUCAAAAUGCAGGCAAUGGCCCAGGCGUUCUUUGUAAAAUUAUUUACAAAACACUGUAUAGUCUCACAAAUGUCACUUUUUAUUUAUGCCACUACAAAAAAACAUGAUGUAAAUGAUGCAUGAUGUAAAACAUGAUGUAAAAAACUUGUGUAGAUCCUCCUCUAUGUCAGUCCAUGUGUAAUUUUUCCAUAAUUCUUUGUUUUUUGCAGCAUUUUUGUUAGUGUAACUGCAGAUUGUGCUGACAGUGUCUAUGGCAAAAAAAAAAAAACUGAAAAUGCCUCAACAUGAACUCCUGGUGGUCUCUGAGGGUGAAACCUGCUAACUGCUGCAGCUCUCUCAGCUCUAGUCUCCCAUGCAGAGCUCUGAGCGCAUGUGUGGCUCUGCACCCUUAGCAGCGUUGCUAACUCCUCAGUAAGGAAAGCCUGCUUCAUGUCAGAGUCUCUAAACUCCAGAGGAAGUCGAUAAAAUUCCCUUUCUUUCUAAAAAAAGUCGUUAGGGGGUCUGAAAAGUCAUUGAAUCUAACAACAAAGUCGCUAGGUUUGCAACUACGUUUCCCAGACUGCAUCCCUGCUGAGAGUUCCUCCCUCCCUUCUCAUAUUGCAGGAAGAACGUAAGCGCCCCCCUUGUCAAUCAGUCACCAUAUAAUUUUGGAUUGGUUGUUGUGGUGAAGUUUUCCACCAAUAGGAGAGAUGUUGUGGUGUGUUUUUUUUUUCUUUUGGCAUGCCUUUUCCGCCUGUAAGAGCUGUCGCUAAUGUCUGCAUGCUAUGUUUUCCUGUCUCAUACAGCGUGAUCGAGCGCCGAACGUGAUCAAAAUAAGCAGAAAAAAAGUAUCGCGGACAUAAUUUAUCAUAACUCUGGUUUUAUUUGGCCUAUCAACACAAUUGAAAAACUGGUAUAUAGUUUGAGGUCCUCACUUUUGAGAUAAGUUGAAACGGAGGGUGAACGAGGCUCCGUCUUGCAGCUACAUCCGGUUAAAUAUGUCAUGUGACUUGAACGCUGGGGAGCGUCAAUCGACUGCAGAGCCAGCAGACAAAGUAGUUAUGCCACUGAGAGGCACACAUUUGUCAUAUGCUAUAAUCCUAACAUAUUUUAAUGCUUUUUCUAUUUAAACCUAAUGGAUCUAAGGUUUGACCUUCAAAAUAUAGGAAGAAUAUUUUUUUGCAGUAAUGACCCCCUUAAACAACCAGAGGUCCUUUCCUAAAGUUUAUGGAAAUUUUAGUGAAGGCCUUGGUUUCUUUCCUUGCAAAAUGUAUAGAAAUAAUAAAGCUAAAUACCAUAAAAUGGUCUUGGCGUAUUAGCAGUGAUAUAAAAUAGUGGUUUGAAUAUGAAUGAACAACAAAAAAAAAACAUCAACAGAGCCUUUUUGAGUUGGGAUUCUUUCAUUAUCACACAAAAACAGACAUAGACAGACAUCUAAAGGGUAAGGGAAUGAUCAGCCCUCCUAACUCUCAGAUGAAUCUUCAAAAUUCACCGCAGAAAUAUGCUUAUUAUUCUUCUCAGAGUACUGCAAGAUAUAUACACACACACAGACACACACACAGACACACACACACACACACACACACACACACACACACACACACACACACACACAGACACAGACACACUCAGAGUCUGUUUUUUAGCACCUGCAAAAACAUGCUAUUUACAUAUUUGACAAGAAUGCAGAGGCUCCUUUUGCCCCUGAAAAAAAUCAAAUUUCAAACACAACUUGACUGCUCAUUUCUCCAAAAGACAACCAUGAAGCUCCAUCCAAACCUGAAGCAGGCAGUUGGUGCAUGUGUACAGUAACCUGAGGGGAGUGAGGUGCUUGCUUCUGAGGAGAACAUGAGCAGUGAAGAUUCACCUUGGAGCUAGAACAGGGACGUGCACAUGAUUAUACAGGGGCAGGGGCUCAAGUUUUUUCCAGUCAUUUAUACAAUAAGGAAAUUAAUGUGAAAUUAAAAAACAAAGUAUUAAUAGAAAGGUAAUGACUGUCCUGUGUAGAUGACAGUGAUAUCCAAUAGGCUAGGCACUCACGAGGCUGGCUGUGGCAAGUGUAAGUGAAAGCAACACGCACUGGCAGGAAGAACAGCAAACGCCGAUGAAGGAAAAGGGUCUUUGCAGUGAUGGGCGUUACCAGAGAGGGCGAUGGCCAGAGGACACGAAUGGGACGGGGAGGCAGCGCGUUGGGGGGGGGGGGGGGGGCGGCGCGACACGGCUCGGGCCCGCCAGUGCCCCAACGGGGCCCUAGUGUUAUUAGGGCCCGAGCCAGCUGCAGAGCAGCCGGGCGUAGGCCCUAUUAUUCCCCAAGUGGUUUUUCUUUGUUUCUUUCUUUCUUUCUUUCUUUCUUUCUUUCUUCUUUUUCCUCCCCUUUGAACUGGAAAAUGGCCC